GCCCAGAUGGCGAAAUUGGUAGACGCGCUGGUUUCAGGGACCAGUGGAUGCAAAUCCGUGCAAGUUCGAGUCUUGUUCUGGGCA
rnacentral:tRNA from 1 species